UCCGGUGAUUAUAGCUAGGGAGCCACACCUCUUACCAUUCCGAACAGAGAAGUUAAGUCCCUAUACGCCGAUGGUACUGCAUGGGUAACUGUGUGGGAGAGUAGGUAGUCGCCGGGA
rnacentral:rRNA from 1 species